GGGCCCGCACAAGCGGUGAGGCAUGCGGUUUAAUUCGAUGCAACGCGAAAAAACCUUACCUACCCUUGACAUCCUCGGAAUUCUCUAGAGAUAGAGAAGUGCCUUCGGGAACCGAGUGACAGGUGCUGCAUGGCUGUCGUCAGCUCGUGUCGUGAGAUGUUAGGUUAAGUCCUGUAACGAGCGCAACCCCUAUUCUUAGUUACCAGCACAUCAUGGUGGGUACUCUAAGAAAACUGCCGGUGUCAAACCGGAGGAAGGUGGGGACGAGGUCAAGUCAUCAUGGCCCUUACGGUAGGGCUACACGCGUGCUACAAUGGACAGUACAAUGGGAAGCAAUAUCGCGAGAUGGAG
rnacentral:rRNA from 1 species